ensembl:lncRNA
CUGCAGUGUGAACGUAGACCUCAGCAGCAGCUGCUUCCAGGCCCUUGGUUGAUGAGCUAAGAGGUGGAAAACGGGCGGAGAAAGCCUAUGUGAAGACUUGAAAAUUGGAUCACACGACAACUCUGGAUCAUGGGUGGGAAAUGGAAUUUAUUAUGUUAGUUUCAGUUAGGUUUUGGCGCGUUCUAACCCUUUUUGUGUCUUUGUGGGCUGAUCAGCCACUUUUUAAGUUUCCCUUUUGUCUCAUUUAGGUAGGUUAGUGUUUGUUGCCAGCUUUUGAGUAGAGUUCUGUUACUUUGACCUCUUUUAUGGGCUCAAUAUUUAUUGUAUUUUUAUUUAUUUUAUUUUAUUUUUUGUAUAAUUUAACCAAGUUUGUUUUAUGGACUUUAACCCUUGCCUGACUUUCCUUGUCUUCUUGGUCCAUCACAUCAUAAAACAGAGAGAGAGUCGACUUAUUCUCCAAAUGCUAAUGAGGAAUACUCUUUCUCAUUGGCUGGUGGUAAACACAAAAGGCAUAAUUGCUUAAAAUGCUGAAACCGCUACCAAUCACUGCAACAGUACCGGUAGGUGGUGUUGCAGCAUCACACUCAGAGCAGACCCCCACAACACAACCACUUCACUUGGGUAAGAUGUUUUGCGCACCGGGAAUCAUGAUCCACACACUGGAUAUGCACCAUAACUACAGGAGCAGAACAGAAGUCUGGUGUUAAGGUGGAUUUUUUUCAUCGGUCUUGACUGAUAUUUCUUCUUUAACCAUUUGGACUCUUAGAUUUUUUUAUUCCAUUGACAAUGCAUCGUUCUUUCGUGGUGUUUGUGAGUUUUAUUAAACUGUCUCCCUUCCGUCAGACAGUGAUUGUUUUCACGCUAGUUGUUAUUUGCCCGUUUGUGUUUGGCUGAGUUUGAGCACCACUGUCAUUUGCAGGACAGAUGUUUUUUUGCUGCUGCCGCAUCAUUAUGACCCUGAGUCUGACUCACCAUCACAUGCUGCCAGAUGCAACUCGUCAACCGAUCCAAUAUUUUGCUUUUUAUUUUGUGAAAACGCGGGGACUUGCUGCCGCUGAUGGGGACUCUUUGGGGCUUCUUAGCGCAUGAAGGACCUCAGGCUUCUGGUGGGUUUCACAAAUAUUUUUUUUUAAAGAUGGAGAAGAUAAGAUGCGCUUAAAUGUUAGAUUUUUAAAUACUAGAUCUGUUUUUAUUUUCUGUCAUAUCCGUUUUUAUUGGAGUAUACAUCCCCAAAAAUUUCGGCUGGCGAUUUAUAGCUUGCGAAUAUCCGGAUGUAAUGCAUUUUGUAACCAUCACUC